GCCGUCAUAGCUCAGCAGGUAGAGCGCACCCAUGGUAAGGGUGAGGUCACGGGUUCGAUUCCCGUUGAUGGCUCCA
rnacentral:tRNA from 1 species